GCCUGGUGUCAUCGAUGCGAAUGCAUGUACUUCCCCUUCGUGGAGUAACUUCAGACAUGCGUAGCUUAAUCAUUAAGUGGGAGUUCUUGCCUGGUGUCAUCGAUGCGAAUGCAUGUACUUCCCCUUCGUGAAGUAACCUCAGACAUGCGUAGCUUAAUCAUUAAGUGGGAGGAUGGUGCUGAGACGACGAGAAGCCAAUUAACGAUGCAACUCCAAAACCCAGCGUCUUUUUCGAACUGUCACAUUGUAUGGGUGUUUGAAGGCAGAUCAGCACAAGCAAUACUGAAGUGGCAGGAAAUUAAAACAGUUCCCUGUACUUCAAUCUCCACGAAAUUCAAAGAACUGAUUCUGGUCGCCCAGGAUGUGGCAAUACUAACUAGUUUUGUCAUUUUGAAUUCAAAUCUA